rnacentral:tRNA from 1 species
GGUUCUGUCGUGUAGUGGUUAUCACAUCUACUUUAUGCGCAGGAGAUCCUGGGUUUGAUUCCCAGUGGAACCA